rnacentral:rRNA from 1 species
CAGUGAAGCAAGACUUUAAAGCCUUGUGGAGAAAUCAGAAUUGAGUAUGCUGACAUGAGUAAUAUAAAAUGGUUUAAAACCAUGGCCGUAAGUUCUAGGAUUUCCGCGCACUCAGACGAACGCGAGAGUUAAUCGGGCCUAAAGCAUUUUACUUUUUUUUAUUUAAAAAAAAUAUGCGAUGGGUAUUAAAUUUUUAUUUGAUAAACUAUAGAAUUAGAAAAGCGACAC